rnacentral:rRNA from 1 species
GGGGGAAUAGUGCACAAUGGGCGCAAGCCUGAUGCAGCCAUGCCGCGUGUGUGAAGAAGGCCUGCGGGUUGUAAAGCACUUUCAGCGGGGAGGAAGGCGAUAAGGUUAAUAACCUUGUCGAUUGACGUUACCCGCAGAAGAAGCACCGGCUAACUCCGUGCCAGCAGCCGCGGUAAUACGGAGGGUGCAAGCGUUAAUCGGAAUUACUGGGCGUAAAGCGCACGCAGGCGGUCUGGCAAGUCGGAUGUGAAAUCCCCGGGCUCAAACUGGGAACUGCAUUCGAAACUGGCAGGCUAGAGUCUUGUAGAGGGGGGUAGAAUUCCAGGUGUAGCGGUGAAAUGCGUAGAGAUCUGGAGGAAUACCGGUGGGGAAGGCGGCCCCCCGGACAAAGACUGACUCACAGGUGCGAAAGCGGGGGGAGCAAGCAGG